AGGAGGUGAGGCAGGCUGACACCAUGGCGAGAGGCCAGGAACUGGGGUCUGCAGACACCUGGCUGUAUCACUCCUAGCUGGUCUUCACAGCCUUUUAAAAUCUGAAGGUGCUUUCAUCUUUCCUGGCCCCUUCUACACAAAGGAGAGCUUUUUAAGCCCCAAGGUGUCCUGGGCUGCCCUAGGAAGUUUAGCUCCAUGUGUCUGUGGUAUCCACUUGUGAUUCCUUGGUUUUCCUUCAGGUUAGAGCUGGAACUAUCUCUGAAGGCCUGAUAGAGGCUGAUUUCCCAAGAUCCAGAAGCUUCCUUUGUCUGGGCCAGCACCAGGGCUCAGUGCUUUCAUAGACUUCUGGUUCAGCCCUACCUGGGUUUCAAUAACCAAAUUAAAAAAAGACUAAAUAUAACUUGUAGAAAACCUAGGAGGAAGUGUGCUUACAGUCCUAAACUCUAAAAGAUGCAGUCACAUCCUCUGAAAACCAGAUAAUUGAUUUGAAAAGACAAGUGUAGACGUAUUAGGUUGAAGCACACUCCUUCACUUAUUCUUUUUUCCGUUUAUUUAUUUAUUUUUUUUGAGACGGAGUUUCGCUCUUGUUACCCAGGCUGGAGUGCAAUGGCGCGAUCUCGGCUCACCGCUACCUCCGCCUCCUGGGUUCAGGCAAUUCUCCUGCCUCAGCCUCCUGAGUAGCUGGGACUACAGGCACACGCCACCAUGCCCAGCUAAUUUUUUGUAUUUUUAGUAGAGACGGGGUUUCACCAUGUUGACCAGGUUGGUCUCGAUCUGUUGGUCUCGUGAUCCCCCCGCCUCGGCCUCCCAACGUGCUGGGAUUACAGGCUUGAGCUACCGCGCCCGGCCUUUUCCAUUUAUUUUUAUACGAACCUCACUGGCUUACUAUGAAUGGAAGGUGGAGAAUUUUCUGUAUAGAAGUGUAAGAAGAUUCAGAGGUAAUCUGCACUCUCAGUGAGUUUCUGUUCUUGAUCAGGGAUUGGCAAACUAUGUCUAGCAGGUCAAAUCCUAGCUGCUGACUAUGUUUGUAAAUUGAGCUUUACUGAAAAACAGCCAUGCUCAUUUACUUACUGCCAUUGUAGCUGUUUCUCCUCUGUAAUGACAAAGUGGAGUCGUUUUGAUAGACAUCGCUUGCGAGGCCUGCAACACUUACUGUUUGGCCCUUUACCUAAAAAGUUUGCUUCAAAUGUAGUCAGCAAGAUGAACAGAUAAAGAAAUGAUUAUAUAUAUACACACACACACAUAUAUACGUAUCAUCAUUUAUUGGUAUAUAUAUCAAUGAUGUGUGUAUAUACGUUAUUGAUAUAUAUAUCAAUAAUGUUAUAUAUGUAUUAAUGUUAUAUUGAUAUAUAUAUCAACGUAUAUACACAUCAUUGAGUGUAUAUAUAUAUAUAUAUAUAUAUAUACACACACAUACACACACAUAUAUGUGCUAACCUACCCUGUGUUAGCCUGACGGACUCCAUCUUGCUGAGAGCCAGACAGACUCCAUCUUAACCUCCACCUCACCCCUCCUGCCAUUUCUGCCUUGAGUGCAUACCUGGGUCACACGGUGCUGUGUCAUGUUGUACUUAGAACCAUAGAAACAUAUAACCGUUGUAACCAUAUCCUGCUUGACAAGCCCACUUGCUAUGUGAAUACCCCCUUGAUUAAUUGUAUGGAAAGUAUCAAAUUACCCCCCUUGGUCACCAGCAAUCAAGGGAACUGCUUGUGUCUACCCUCCUUAGUUAAUCAACAAUCAUGGGAGCCUCCUGCCUCCUAGUUACCAGCCUCCUCCCCUAACUUGCUUAUUCUGCUUCUGUAAAAUUCUGCUUUGCCCCCCUUACCCUGAGCAACAUAUAAAAGGAAAUCACAUCCCUUCAUCAGGGCCGAGAGAUUUUCAGCAUGAGCUGGCUCUUGGUCGCCGGCAAUAAAGGACUCACAAUCGGAUCUCACAGAGUGGCUGUUUUCUAACAACUCACUCGGAUAUAACACAUACCCUGUGAGAGAAAGAUGAUGGAACAUUAUUCAGCCAGAAAAAGGAAGAAAUCCUGCUAUCUGCAACAAUGUGGAUGAAUUUUGAGGGCAUUAUGCUAAGUGAAACAGAGAAAUAAAAAUAUUACAUAAUCUCACUUCUAAAAAGGUUGAACUAAGAGAAACAGAGUGGAAUUAUGGUUAUCAGGGCCUGGGCAUUGAGGGGAAAAUGGGGAGACAUUCAGAGAGCACAAACUUAAAGUUUUGUACAUCUAGUAUAUAGGGUGGUGACUAUAGUUAACAAUACUGUAUUGUAUACAUGAAAUUUUCUAAGAAAUUAGAUCUUAAAUCUUCUCACCAAAAGCCAAAAGCCAAAAAAUAACUAGGUGAGAUGAUAGAUGUGAUAACGAACUUAAUCAUGGGCAAGGUGAUAAAUGUGUUAACUAACUCAAUUUUGGUAAUCAUUUCACUAUAUAUAUAUGUGCACACAUAUACAUACAUGCACAUAUACAUAUAUAUGUAUGUAUGUCAGUAGAGUGGGAAUAGGAAAUGAUGAAGUGGCAUUUUAGGCCAAGAAAGAGACUAUGGAAUCAAUCCCACCCCUCCACGUGUCUCCUGAAAUCCUGAAUGACGUGAGACUGCAGAGUGUCUGACAUUGUUGUAUCAACAUCAAAUAAGAAUAUAAAAACUAAUCUUUAAGCCAAAGGUUUUAUUUGGGAAUACACAAAUAAUAGAAUUGCAACGUGGGGUACAUGCCAAGACCUGGAUGGCCUCUUAUUAAGUGCUGAGACCAAAUGGAAAGGUUAGGGGAAGAGGAUGUUAUGCAAGUUGUUUUGAAAGAAAAGUCAUUGUAUCUGGUGGUGUCUUCCAGGAGCUGGUGAGAUCUGAUCGGUGAGUGGUAGCAUUGCCUAGGUGAAACUUGUCAUCCUCAAGUCAUAGCAGGCUGUUUCCUUGGAUCGGGCUUGCCAGACAGUGGAUCAGGUCUCCACAUGCAAGCCUGGAGCCUGAAAGUCUGAAGUCCUCCUUGCCUGAGCUGAUGUCUCCCACCUCCUUCCUGCGUUCGCCAUUGUCCCUGAUGGUCCAGCGGAGCUUCCCCAGACAAGCCCCUCACCCAACCCUUCCAUCCUAACUGUUCUUAUGAUAAUGAAAAUACCUCUCACCCAACCCUGCCAUUGUAACUGCCCGUAUACUCCUUGCCCCAACCCCCCACCACUGUAACUAAACUUACUCUGUAACACCCCUGCCCCCAGAAAACUACCCAAACCUAUAAAACCAAUGCUCUUUGCUAAUGCCCUUUUUGGCCUUAGCCCACCUGCACCCAAGUGAAUAAACAGCCAUGUUGCUCACACAAAGCCUGUCUGGAAGGUCUCUUCAUUCAAAGUGCGUGUUUUUUCAGCAUUAUCAUCUUUGAUUUUUGGAUUCAGGGUCUUGGACAUAUUGAAUUGUGAAAAAUUUCCUGGAAAGCAACAUGGUGAGAAUAUCCAGAUCAAAAUAGAAUUUCCAAGAGCUGAUUGGCUGAAGGGCUUUGAGUGGGAGAAAAUGACCGCUGGGUGUGAUAAUGAUGCGUGCUGCUCGUAAUGGCAAUGAAAGUAGAGUUGAAUCAAGAAGUUGCAGAUUUAGCUGUAACGUGGAUGGUAGUUCGUUUCAUCUAAACCAGUGGUUCUAAGACUUUAGCACACAGCAGCAUCACCUAGAGGGUUAAACACAGGAGUGGGUCCUCACCCUGGGGUUUUUGUUUCUGUACAGUUCUGGUGUGGAUACAGUGGUGCUGAUGCUUUUGGUCUGGGAACCACACCUUGAGACCAUGGAUCUAAGCCAUUGGAGGACUGAAUGUGAGACAAGAUAUUACCUUUUUCCAUGGUGUAGACUCAUAUCAUGAAAUGUGUAAAUUCUAAAAUCUUGCCAACAGGAGACCAAAAUUAUUGUCACAUUUGUGGGGGGUCCAGCAAAGAUAUAAUGUUACCUCCAGGGGGUGCCAUUCCCUUGUGAAUGACUGCCCUAGAAGUUGUGUAUAAGGCAUAUGGCCACACAAAGGCCCUGAAGUCUGGUAGUGGAAAUAAAUUUUUCUUUGUGAUAUCUGACAUUACUUUUAAACAUGGAAAGUCCUCCUCCCUUUCCUCUGAGUCUCCUACCCAUAAUCCAAAGAUCAAAUUUAUAAUCACCUAUGUUUCCUUUUUUUUUAAAAAAAAUGAAUUAUUUUUUAAUACUUUCAUUGUAAAGUCCAAUUCUGUUCAUAUAUUCUGCGAGGUGAUCAUUAAAACAGCAUAUUGUUUUCCUAAGUGACAAUUUUCUCAAAACUUUUUGAAUACACAUUUGUUUUUCCUUCACUGAUUGCGGUAUUUUUCUCAUACGCUGUGUGUGUUUAUUUGUAUUCUGAGACUAUUUAUACUGCCUUUGUUGUGCUAGCUCAUUAAUUCCACAAAUGCUUACUAUGUUCCAAGCACUGCAGAGAUAUCAGUAUGAAUGAAACGGUCAUGAAUAAAACACACGUGGACUCUGCUGCAUGAAAUUUACCAUCUCGGUAGUCUGUUUCAUUGUUCAUUUGUCUAUUCCAGCUCAAGCAUCACAUUAGUUUUAAUUGUCGUAGCUGGAAAACACAUUUUAAGUUGCUGCAGGGAAAUUACUCCUUAAUGCCAUUAAAAAAAUCUUAGUGAUUUUGUCUAUUCUUCUUAAUAUACCUUGGAAUAACUUUUUCAAAAAUUCAAAGAGGGGAAGAAAACUGUGACUUUCGUUGGAAUUGUCUUGCAGUAUAUUUUUGGGAAGGAUCAAUAACUUUUAUUAUACAGUUUUUCUCUCCCAAACCACUUUGGUUUGCCUUUAUUUACUGGGGUCUUCUUUCAUAUCCCUGUAUUAUAAAAUAACAUGCAAGUACUAAAAUGUGUUAGUCUGCUGAAUUUUAUGAAAUGCUUUUUAUCAGCAACAUGAGAAAUUUCAAGAAACUGUAGAACUGAUCCCACAGGGAAGAAAUGAGGAUUGAGGUUAUCAAAUAGAGAAGUGAAAUUGCAGAGAAAGAAUUACUCUAAAGCAAAAACAGUGAGGAAAUUUUCAUAUUAUCAAGGUAGUCACAUAAAAUAAUGAAUGGUCCACAUGCAUAAACCACAUCAAAUGCUAGUCUAUGUAUUUUUCUUGAAGUGUCUGUUUCUCCUGCAAAGUACAUUGCCGUAUAAGUUUUAAACAAUGAGGACAUCCGUCCCUGAGCAACAUUCCUGACACUGUGACGACAAUGACUGGCUUUUGCUGGGCUCGUUUGCAAACAUUUGUUGAGACUUGCAGACUGACAACCUAAAUGGACAAUAUGUCCAUAAUCUGCAUGCCAACUGGCACGCGCUGAUAACAUCUGACAGGCCUCUCUCAUCAAAGCCUUUGUACACCUAAGUAAUACAACUGUACUCUCUUUACCCUUUGAAAAAUCUGAGAUACUGGUUUGUCCCUUUGAGUUAUAGAUGGUGAUCUCAUAAGAGCUUUGAGACAGCCGUUCAGCCUCAUUGACGCAAAUGCUUAUGGCAGACAAUACAUGCUUCAAAUCUGUGGUCAUCUUCCUCUUUUCUUUUCCUGCUUGCUAAUGCCAAGCUGAUGAUGCAGAAUAUAGACCUCAUUUGCAAUUUUAGUAUUAGAGUUUGGAAAACACAUAGAGAUCUGGGUGAACAAAGAAUGUGCGGUAAUCACCUUUUACCUGUCCUUCAUUGUUUGGGAAUGAGCUCCUAUUGUGUUAAAAAUGAACUGCUGGUCAGUGCGUUGGAAAAAAUUUAUCCCAAGAACUUAUUAUUGGUUUGGGGAUUGUUUUUUAUUAUCAUGGCUUCUAUGCUCGCUGCUAUUAUUGGGCUAGAUGCUCAUUUCCUUUAACUGUGAUGUUUAAAAAUACCCUAGCUUAGGUGAAUAUAAUCGUUACCAUUUAUAACAGUAGAUUAGAUUCUCAUCUUCUCUGUCUCUGGUGUAACAGAGAGAUAAUAAAUCAAUGAGAUGAUAGAAUUUAAUAAGGUCCAAAGUAUAUCAUUGUUAGUGAUGCAUUUUCAAAUGAUGAUCUAUGAAAUUUGAAAAUAAGAAGGGAGAAACUUUCUUUUUCUCUUCUAUUAAGGAUGACUGACACGCUUGGAAAGAAAAAAUCUCAAGUCAGGUGCAUGUAAAAGGAAAAUAAUUUGUUCGUAUUUAUCUUUUUAUUAAGAGAGAAAGAAAUAUAAACAGCUAAAGAUGUUCUUUUAAAGUUAAAAUUUGGGGGUUUCAAAUUUCAUUGGCUACCUACAUUAAAUUAAGAGAAAUAAGUAAUUUAAUGUGAGAGUAACAGGAGGCUCCAGGAUUGGGGGAGGGAGAUGAAUGGUAUGGGGGAGGGCAAGAGACAGGCAGACAGAGCUAGAAGAGAGGCGAGAAGGCGGUGGUGAAAAACAGAAAUGAAAGAAAGAAUAGAGAAAUCAAAUAUUUAAAAAUAGAGCCAAGACAAAGAAAGGAACAGAUAGGAGGAUGGCUUGAGCUCAGGAGUUUAAGCUUGAGCUCAGGAGUAUUUCAGCCUGAGCAACAUAGCAAGACCUCAUCUCUACUAAAAAUAAAAAUAAAAAUUAACUGAGUGCAAUGGUGAGUACCUAUAGUGCCAGCUACUUGGGAGUCUGAGGCGGGAGGAUGACUUGAGCCUUGGAGGUUGCAGCUGCGGUGAGAUGAGAUCAUGUCACUGCACUCCAGCCUGGUGACAGAGUAAGACCCUGUCUCAAAAACAAAGGGCAAUAAUAGAAAGAAGGUGACAAAGACACAUGAUGAGGCAGGAAGAGGUAGAAGGAAGCAAGUGCAGCUGGAACUGAAACGAGAAAAGCUCAGAGGGCUUUCCAAGCUCUGACCAUCUUGGCUUGAGUUCCUUCCUCGUUUCCCUGGACAUCUGAACCAGUUACUACCCCAGUCACUGCAGCCCAGCCUGGGAGUGCCUUCUUUCUAUCGCUGGGGCUGUAGACUCCCGGUUGCUUAUUGCUACAACCUUGGUCUUCAUGAUCGAUGCUGACCCCACCUGGCUCGGCGGCCAUUAGUCUUGCCUCUUGCCCAGCCCUGACUUUGUGCUUCAUUUCUUGUAACUGGGUCUAUCUGUUCUUUUUUUUUUUUUUCAAUGCCAAGCAUCUGUCUUUGGUAAUCUCCCUCCUACUUUUUUCUUUCUAAAUACAAAAUGUUGCCUUUCUUCUAUAAGCACCUCUUCUGAGCCUGGGAGCCUUUGACUGCAGCCCAAGCCCCGUGUCCUAUACCCAGUGCUCUCAUGAUGGGAACCAUCAUCGGGUUGGAUGGCCAAAUCCCCCAUUCCUGAUGUUCUGCCCACAUUGUGAUACGCCCUGCUGAACCUCUCAUGAAGACUGCCUGAAACUCUACAUUAUGGAUAUUUUGGCUGAAUUCCUCGCUUGAAUGGUCUGAUUUGGUUACCAGAUAACAGGAUCAUGUCAAGGUCCAAAAAUAUGCCAAUCUUUCCUUUGAAAUGUUAUAAUAAUAUAUUAUUUUCUGCCUUGAGAUUUUUUUUUUUUUCAAAUGUCAAAGGGGCAGGGACACAUGUUUUCAAUAAACUUCACAUUGAGAUUCUGGAAAUAAUUAUGAGAAAACAAUAGAGGUUUUAGAAAUGUAACUGGAAAAUGUAAAAAUGCCAUGAACUUUCCAGUUAUUCCCAGAAGUCUCUUUGACACUGAAAUGAUGCCAAAAUAUAUCACCUUUGUUCUUGAGAAAAUUAGGGCUCUCUCAUUCCAUAACGCUCAAAAUUGUACUUGCAGGUAAUAUCGCAGGCUACUUGCUAGAGACUGGAUGAAAUUUAACAGAUGCUGAUCUGAAGUCAUUUCAUGUCUGACUUGUGAGUGCAAGUGUUGGACACAGUUGAGGUUUUCUUUCUAAUUAAAAAUUAGGCUUUUUUCUUUCACAAUCAAGUAGCUGUCUGUAGUGGUUCACAUCCUUGCUGAUAGUAGCAUUUUUCCAUUGAUCCUAAUUUUUGGAAGGUUGUGGUGGAAAGAGAGAACUUAAAUUUUCAUUAGAAUUCACCUUUUCAUAAUAAAGAUGUGAUAUAAAACCUUGUUUGGUUUGUUUCAGAAACUUUUGUUCCUCUGCUCAUCCUGUCACUUAUGAGCAUGUUCUGAGUGACUUUGUGGGAAGAGGACAUGGCAUUAGCAUUUCACCUGGUAUCUUAGGAACAAACAAAAAAUAAAACAACCAACCAACCAAGAAUGUCUUAAGAAUACUUGACAAAACUUAAAUCUUUGGCUGAAUCUAUAUAAUGAUGUUAGAAUGACCUGGUAGGAGAAAACGUGCAGGGCCGAAAGUGUUUCAUAGUUCAAGCUGCUGCAUGAACGGCAUGGGCAGGUCCCCUGAAUGACACACUGGAGCCAUGUAUGGCUCCGGGUCCACUGAACUGGUCUCAUCUUCCCCUUAUGAGAGCUAUGGUAUGACAGGUGCAGUGUGUGUACUUGUAUGGGAUGAUGACGGGUUGGGGUGACCACAGGUGGAGGGGGCAGGAGGAAGCAGAAAGCCUUGGUCUUAUGCACACUGCACCCAAAGCAUAGAAGCCACAGGUAGUCAUUAUUAUGACAUUUGGCAAGUGCAAUUGAUGGGCAUAUCAUAGUAACAGGUAACCCAGGUGGCAGGUGAGGGUGACUAUCAGGUGGGCACAGUGACUCUGGGAGACAGAGCCAUUAACCUCUAAAUUGGACUUAGAGAAGAUGCCAGGGGUGGAUUGCGUAUGGAGUAAUUUACCUAAACAAAAUUACUAUUUACUUAUGACCAUGGGGGCUGUUAUGGGUUGAAUUUUGUACCCUCUAAACUACGUAGAAUUGCAAACCCAAGUAUCCGUGAAUGUGACUGUGUCUGGAAAUAAGGUCUUUGAAGAUGAAAUUAGUUAAGGUGAGGCUAUUAGGAUGGGACCUAAUCCAACAUGACUGAACAAAGAGGAAAAUUUAUACACAGAGUUGGAAGCACACACAGGGAAAUACCACGUGAGGAUAAAAGCAGAGAUUGGGGUGAUGCAUCUACAACCCCCAAAGAAUCUGCUAGCAUAUUACCAGAGGCCAGGAGAGAGCCCUGGAACAGAUUUCCCCUCAGAGUCCUCGAAAGGAAGAACCCUGCCAACAUCUUGUUCUUCGACUUCCCUCAGCACUGUGAGGCAGUCAGCUUCUAUUGCUGCGAGCCAUUCAAUUUCUGAUACUGUUAUGGCACCAUAAAGAAUGAAUACAGGUGCUGGUGGAUUGAAGGUUUGGUUAGCAGAAAAUAUUAGCACUAGGAGAAACCCUAGAAAUUGUAUGGUUGGCAUAGGAAACACUACUGUACCGUAUACUUAAAAUGUGCCAAGAAGGUAGACCCUAAGUGUUCUCACCACAAAAAAAAGGGCAGCAGCAAAACUGUGUGAUGAAUGUGUUAAUUAUCUUUAUUGUGGUGCUAAUUUCAUGGUGUUUAUGUGUACGAAAUCAUCAGGUUGUACACCUUAAAUACACUCAUGCACCAUAUAAUGUUUCAGAUAUGUGACAGACCAGAUAUUUGAGAGUUGCCCUAUAAGAUUAUAAUGCCAUAUGUUCACUGUACCUUUUCUAUGCUUAGAUAUGUUUAGAUAUACAAAUACUUACCAUUGUGUUACAAUUUUCCAACAGGAUGUGCCAUGUCCAGUGAAUGAUCUUUUGUGCUGUGUAAUAUUAAGAAUAUUUAAUGGUGGUCAAUAUUCAUGUGGAAAAGGUGUAGACAGUGAGUAUAUGCCAAUAGUAUUCAGUACAGUGACAUGCUGUACAGGCUUGUAGCCGAGGAGCAAUGGGCUGGGUGUAUAGCAGGUAUUACCAUCUAAGUUUGUGUAAGUAGACUCUACAAUGUUUGUAAAAUGAUGAAAUAGCCUAAUAUUGUAUUUCUCAGAAUAUAUCACUGUCAUUAAGAGAUGCAUGACUCUAUGUACAAUUUUUUUAAAAAUUGUGUAGUUGAGAUCUUUUAUAUUACCAAUGAAUAGCUGAGGCCCAGAAAGGUCAAAUGAAUUAAUUGCUUGAUAUCACCUAACUAGCACGUGGCAAGGAGGAGACUAAAUCCUCUCUGUCUUUUGACUCUUGGUCUGUGCUCUUCCUGUACUUUAUACUCUUGCGCAAAAUUACCACGUAGCAUGCACAUAGAAACACAGAUUAGAAAUACACAUAAGAAAAUAAUCAUGUAACUUAGAAAAUGAGUUUUGAAAAAGUGUAGCCCUACUCCUUAUCUAAAAUUAAUCUAACUGAAAUCGCAUUUUAGAUUAACUUUGCUACUUGAAAAAUGCUAAGUGGUUGCCAGAGAGCAGUGAAAUUUGUUCCUCUAAAUGUGCUGCUCAGGGCAAGUAGCCCAUCAUUGUUUUCCAAACCGCUAGUCAUUAACAUUUACGUGUGCCUGUGGAGUAUCUGGCUCUCCUAGUGUCUCAGCUCUCUGUAUAGUCAGAGGGGUGGCUGCUUUCUGCCUCUGGUCACAAGACAAUGCCCCAUUGCGCUUGCUUAUCCAGAAGAUCAAUCAGGAAGAGAAACAACCCAUGGGCUGAGCUGCAGUUUCUGUUGGCUGACUUAGUUUAGACGUAUUUCUCCUCUCCCUCAAAUCCCUCCGACUAAGUCAAAGAUGUUUGCAAAUGUCCGAAGGAAUAUUCUAGUAGCGAGGAUCUGGGAUUUUCACAGCCAUAGCUCAAGAUAAAGCCCAACUGCAAAA